UUGUCUCAAAGAUUAAGCCAUGCAUGUCUCAGUACAAGCCAAAUUAAGGUGAAACCGCGAAAGGCUCAUUAAAUCAGUUAUGGUUCCUUAGAUCGUACCAACAAUUACUUGGAUAACUGUGGUAAUUCUACAGCUAACACAUGCACACAGAGCUCCGACCGGAAACGGAAGGAGUGCUUUUGUUAGUACAAAAUCAAUCGGCGGCACGUUCGCUUGCGGACGCGUCGUCGUACAAAUUGAUGAAUCUAAAUAACUUUCUGCUGAUCGCACGGUCUAGCACCGGCGACGCAUCUUUCAAAUGUCUGCCUUAUCAACUGUCGAUGGUAGGUUCUGUGCCUACCAUGGUUGUAACGGGUAACGGGGAAUCAGGGUUCGAUUCCGGAGAGGGAGCCUGAGAAACGGCUACCACAUCCAAGGAAGGCAGCAGGCGCGCAAAUUACCCACUCCCGGCACGGGGAGGUAGUGACGAAAAAUAACGAUACGGGACUCAUCCGAGGCCCCGUAAUCGGAAUGAGAACAAUUUAAAUCCUUUAACGAGGAUCAAUUGGAGGGCAAGUCUGGUGCCAGCAGCCGCGGUAAUUCCAGCUCCAAUAGCGUAUAUUAAAGUUGUUGCGGUUAAAAAGCUCGUAGUCGGAUCUGUGUCCCGUGCCGCCGGUUCGCCGCUCGCGGUGUUCAACUGGCGAGUACGCGGGACGUCCUGCCGGUGGGCCUAACCCUUUCACGAGGGCGGCCCAAUUAUAAUCCCGUCGCGGUGCUCUUCACCGAGUGUCGAGGCGGGCCGGCACGUUUACUUUGAACAAAUUAGAGUGCUUAAAGCAGGCUCAAACUGCGCCUGAAUACUUCGUGCAUGGAAUAAUGGAAUAGGACCUCGGUUCUAUUUUGUUGGUUUUCGGAACCCCGAGGUAAUGAUUAAUAGGAACGGAUGGGGGCAUUUCGUAUUUGCGACGUUAGAGGUGAAAUUUCUUGGACCGUCGUAAGACGGACAGAAGCGAAAGCAUUUGCCAAAAACGUUUUCAUUGAUCAAGAACGAAAGUUAGAGGUUCGAAGGCGAUCAGAUACCGCCCUAGUUCUAACCAUAAACGAUGCCAGCUAGCGAUCCGCCGACGUUCCUCCGAUGACUCGGCGGGCAGCUUCCGGGAAACCAAAGCUUUUGGGUUCCGGGGGAAGUAUGGUUGCAAAGCUGAAACUUAAAGGAAUUGACGGAAGGGCACCACCAGGAGUGGAGCCUGCGGCUUAAUUUGACUCAACACGGGAAACCUCACCAGGCCCGGACACCGGAAGGAUUGACAGAUUGAGAGCUCUUUCUUGAUUCGGUGGGUGGUGGUGCAUGGCCGUUCUUAGUUGGUGGAGCGAUUUGUCUGGUUAAUUCCGAUAACGAACGAGACUCUGGCCUGCUAACUAGGCGUAUUUCCGACAUCCCGAAGGCCUCGCCGGUUUGGAGCGUUAAUUCGUAACAAGCCGUGCGUAGUUUUUACUGUCGGCGUACAAGCAAAUCUUCUUAGAGGGACAGGCGGCUUCUAGCCGCACGAGAUAGAGCAAUAACAGGUCUGUGAUGCCCUUAGAUGUUCUGGGCCGCACGCGCGCUACACUGAAGGAAUCAGCGUGUCUUCCCUGUCCGAGUGGACCGGGUAACCCGCUGAACCUCCUUCGUGCUAGGGAUUGGGGCUUGCAAUUGUUCCCCAUGAACGAGGAAUUCCCAGUAAGCGCGAGUCAUAAGCUCGCGUUGAUUACGUCCCUGCCCUUUGUACACACCGCCCGUCGCUACUACCGAUUGAAUGAUUUAGUGAGGUCUUCGGACCGGCACGCGGAGGCGUUUCGACGUCGUCGAUGAUGCUGGAAAGAUGACCAAACUUGAUUAUUU
rnacentral:rRNA from 1 species